AUCGACAGGCUUAACACAUGCAAGUCGAGGGGCAGCGGGGGUAGCAAUACCCGCCGGCGACCGGCGCACGGGUGAGUAACGCGUAUGCAACUUGCCUAUCAGAGGGGGAUAACCCGGCGAAAGUCGGACUAAUACCGCAUGAAGCAGGGAUCCCGCAUGGGAAUAUUUGCUAAAGAUUCAUCGCUGAUAGAUAGGCAUGCGUUCCAUUAGGCAGUUGGCGGGGUAACGGCCCACCAAACCGACGAUGGAUAGGGGUUCUGAGAGGAAGGUCCCCCACAUUGGUACUGAGACACGGACCAAACUCCUACGGGAGGCAGCAGUGAGGAAUAUUGGUCAAUGGCCGAGAGGCUGAACCAGCCAAGUCGCGUGAGGGAUGAAGGUUCUAUGGAUCGUAAACCUCUUUUAUAAGGGAAUAAAGUGCGGGACGUGUCCCGUUUUGUAUGUACCCUAUGAAUAAGGAUCGGCUAACUCCGUGCCAGCAGCCGCGGUAAUACGGAGGAUCCGAGCGUUAUCCGGAUUUAUUGGGUUUAAAGGGUGCGUAGGCGGCCUUUUAAGUCAGCGGUGAAAGUCUGUGGCUCAACCAUAGAAUUGCCGUUGAAACUGGGGGGCUUGAGUAUGUUUGAGGCAGGCGGAAUGCGUGGUGUAGCGGUGAAAUGCAUAGAUAUCACGCAGAACCCCGAUUGCGAAGGCAGCCUGCCAAGCCAUGACUGACGCUGAUGCACGAAAGCGUGGGGAUCAAACAGGAUUAGAUACCCUGGUAGUCCACGCAGUAAACGAUGAUCACUAGCUGUUUGCGAUACACUGUAAGCGGCACAGCGAAAGCGUUAAGUGAUCCACCUGGGGAGUACGCCGGCAACGGUGAAACUCAAAGGAAUUGACGGGGGCCCGCACAAGCGGAGGAACAUGCGGUUUAAUUCGAUGAUACGCGAGGAACCUUACCCGGGUUUGAACGCAUUCGGACCGAGGUGGAAACACCUUUUCUAGCAAUAGCCGUUUGCGAGGUGCUGCAUGGUUGUCGUCAGCUCGUGCCGUGAGGUGUCGGCUUAAGUGCCAUAACGAGCGCAACCCUUGCCACUAGUUACUAACAGGUGAUGCUGAGGACUCUGGUGGGACUGCCAGCGUAAGCUGCGAGGAAGGCGGGGAUGACGUCAAAUCAGCACGGCCCUUACAUCCGGGGCGACACACGUGUUACAAUGGCGUGGACAAAGGGAGGCCACCUGGCGACAGGGAGCGAAUCCCCAAACCACGUCUCAGUUCGGAUCGGAGUCUGCAACCCGACUCCGUGAAGCUGGAUUCGCUAGUAAUCGCGCAUCAGCCAUGGCGCGGUGAAUACGUUCCCGGGCCUUGUACACACCGCCCGUCAAGCCAUGGGAGCCGGGGGUACCUGAAGUCCGUAACAGAAAGGAUCGGCCUAGGGUAAAACUGGUGACUG
rnacentral:rRNA from 1 species